rnacentral:rRNA from 1 species
GAUAAACGCUGGCGGCGUGCCUAACACAUGCAAGUCGAACGCUCUUUCGCAAGAGAGAGAGUGGCGGACGGGUGAGUAACACGUGGGUACCUACCCCAAGGUGAGGAAUACCGGCGAGAAAUCGCUGACAAUACCGCAUACGUUUCUCUCACAAGAGGAACAAAGCUCGCAAGAGCGCCAUGGGAAGGGCCUGCGGCCGAUUAGCUAGUUGGUAAGGUAAGAGCUUACCAAGGCGACGAUCGGUAGCUGGUCUGAGAGGAUGGUCAGCCACACUGGGAUUGAGAACGGCCCAGACUCCUACGGGGGGCAGCAGUGAGGAAUUUUCGUCAAUGGGGGCAACCCUGAACGAGCAACGCCGCGUGCAGGAAGAAGGUUUUCGGAUCGUAAACUGCUUUUCUCUGGGACGAGAACGGACGGUACCAGAGGAAGAAGCCCCGGCUAACUACGUGCCAGCAGCCGCCGUAAAAC